AUUGAACGCUGGCGGCAGGCUUAACACAUGCAAGUCGAGCGGAGAUGAGGUGCUUGCACCUUAUCUUAGCGGCGGACGGGUGAGUAAUGCUUAGGAAUCUGCCUAUUAGUGGGGGACAACAUUCCGAAAGGAAUGCUAAUACCGCAUACGCCCUACGGGGGAAAGCAGGGGAACUUCGGACCUUGCGCUAAUAGAUGAGCCUCAGUCGGAUGAGCUAGUUGGUGGGGUAAAGGCCUACCAAGGCGACGAUCUGUAGCGGGUCUGAGAGGAUGAUCCGCCACACUGGGACUGAGACACGGCCCAGACUCCUACGGGGGGCAGCAGUGGGGAAUAUUGGACAAUGGGCGGAAGCCUGAUCCAGCCAUGCCGCGUGUGUGAAGAAGGCCUUUUGGUUGUAAAGCACUUUAAGCGAGGAGGAGGCUACUUAGAUUAAUACUCUAGGAUAGUGGACGUUACUCGCAGAAUAAGCACCGGCUAACUCUGUGCCAGCAGCCGCGGUAACAC
rnacentral:rRNA from 1 species